rnacentral:rRNA from 1 species
CUUAAAUUGAAGAGUUUGAUCAUGGCUCAGAUUGAACGCUGGCGGCAGGCCUAACACAUGCAAGUCGAGCGGAAACGAGUUAUCAGAACCUUCGGGGAACGAUAAUGGCGUCGAGCGGCGGACGGGUG